AUUGAACGCUGGCGGCAUGCCUUACACAUGCAAGUCGAACGGCAGCAUGGGUGCUUGCGCCUGGUUGCUGGUGAGGGGCGGACGGGUGAUACAUACAAACAAAUCCUGUCGGGGGGGGGGGCUCACUGAAAGCAGGAUUAGUAACGCAUACAUACGACGGGUGAAAGAGGGUGGGGGACGGCAGUGGCGCAAGCGAGAGGGCCGGCGGAUGGCUGAUUAGCUAGUUGGUGAGGUAAAGGCCUACCAAGGCGACGAUCAGUAGCUGGUCUGAGAGGACGAUCAGCCACACUGGGACUGAGACACGGCCCAGACUCCUACGGGAGGCAGCAGUGGGGAAUUUUGGACAAUGGGCGAAAGCCUGAUCCAGCAAUGCCGCGUGUGUGAAGAAGGCCUUCGGGUUGUAAAGCACUUUUGUCCGGAAAGAAAUGCUUCAGGUUAAUACCUGCGGUGGAUGACGGUACCGGAAGAAUAAGCACCGGCUAACUACGUG
rnacentral:rRNA from 1 species